rnacentral:rRNA from 1 species
CCUACGCGAGGCAGCAGUGAGGAAUAUUGGUCAAUGGGCGCGAGCCUGAACCAGCCAAGUAGCGUGAAGGAUGACUGCCCUACGGGUUGUAAACUUCUUCUAUAAAGGAAUAAAGUGAGGCACGUGUGCCUUUUUGUAUGUACUUUAUGAAUAAGGAUCGGCUAACUCCGCGCCAGCAGCCGCGGUAAUACGGAGGAUCCGAGAGUUAUCCGGAUUUAGUGGGUUGAAAGGGAGCGUAGAUGGGUUGUUAAGUCAGUUGUGAAAGUUUGCGGCUCAACCGUAAAAUUGCAAUUGAUACUGGCAGUCUUGAGUACAGUUGAGGUAGGCAGAAUUCGUGGUGUAGCGGUGAAAUGCUUAGAGAUCACGAAGAACUCCGAUUGCGAAGGCAGCUUACUAAACUGCCACUGACAUUGAUGCUCGAAAGUGUGGGUAUCAAACAGGAUUAGAUACCCUGGUAGUC